GAUAAACGCUGGCGGCGUGCAUUAUGCAUGCAAGUCGAACGGUGCCCGCAAGGGCACAGUGGCAAACGGGUGAGUAACACAUAAGUAACCUGUCCCUGAGUGGGGAAUAAUUAGCCGAAAGGCUGACUAAUACCGCAUUCGAUGGGCUCCCAUAAGGGAGUUUAUGAAAGCCGCAAGGCGCUCGGGGAGGGGCUUGUGUCCGAUUAGCUAGUUGGUGAGGUAACGGCCCACCAAGGCUGUGAUCGGUAGCUGGUCUGAGAGGAUGGUCAGCCACACUGGGACUGAGACACGGCCCAGACUCCUACGGGUGGCUG
rnacentral:rRNA from 1 species